UGCCAUCACUGUUCCCAUCCACCUCUGCUCCUCCAAAGAGGGCACGGGAUGCGAGUGAGGCUCUGGUGCAUGUCCUUGAGGACCAAGAAGACCCUAAUACCUCUUUGAUGAAACGUCCUCUCUCCUGCCCAGUCCUGAUCGCGAGUCCGUCCAACUGCAUCCUAGCGGUAGGAGAUGUGCCAAUAACCACGUUUCCAAAAGACGAGGUUACGGAGGGUGCUUUAUACCUUAUGGCCUACUAUUAUACCCUACACCUUACAUACCCAAAGUGUGUAGCCACUCUGCUUUCCGUCAUACAGACGGAGGUUCUCUUGGACAAAAUCAAUGAGCGAGAUCUCACAUCAUCUUACAAGAAGAGCAUGGCUGACUGGAAUGCUUUUAUUGGCCAGUAGAGCCAGUGUGGUUAAGAUGUGGACUAUAGGAAAGCACUUCUUCUCUCCUUCCAAGGCUACUACAGUCCAUGUUGGUUGCGAUUGAUUUUGUUUGAAAUUGGCCAGGGCCAUUUUUUCCAGUGUGGACCUAUGUGCAACCAUGGGAAGGGGAACCCUGCUGGUUACCUUGACUACCAAGCUCACCCUUACAGGACCCCAGCUGAUGCCAACAGCAACUGAGCCACGAGGCAGACAGAGAAGAUGGACGCACGACAACUUCCACCUAAUGGACAUGAGACAAGAUAACAUCCAUCCUUGGAUGAAAAAUGCCUGAUACAGAUACGUGUUUAACAGGAUCACAGAGAAAGACUGUUACGUCUGCUCGCACAUGCCGAGCAUAUUGACACAACCAUAUAUGGGAAACACCCUGGAACAAGUGCACUAAUUCUGAUCUCCGACCACACCUUCAGAAUGACUUUUGUAAAGUGCACAAUGACAUCAACAUCCUCCUCCAGGAAGAAGCGCUCAACUUUAACAGGUUUUAAAGAGACUGUUGAUCGUCGUUGGACUUUUCCUGAUUUUAUUUUAUUUUCUUUAUUUGAGUUAUUCCUUGUUUAAAAGCUGUAAUUUCACAGAUGAUAAGCUUGUCACUCAUGGCAUACGUAGAUGUACCAAAACCGAUGAAGAUCAUGAAGACUUUUUUUUCCUAUUUGUUAGAUGAAGUGUAACUAAUGAUGUAGUAACUGAGAAUGUGAAAGACAAGUAGUUACUUAUUGUACAUUUAAUUUCUCUGAUAAACAGGGCGGAAUGUCAAAAGAUAAUUGUGUAUGUGAUCAGCUACAUGAAAUGUAUUCUUUUAUUUAUCACUAAGCAAAUGUCUACGUGACUUUUGACAUGAAACUUUUCUGUGAUAAACAACUUGCAGCUUCUUCUUUCUGUAAGAACAUACAGAUAGAAAAGGGGAACCUCAGCUCUGGUUCUAAGAAUAACUUUGUUAUCUUUGUACACAGACGCACACACAGACACACAGAAAAGUAUAAAUAAAGCACGCAGACAGUGAUGAGACACAGGUCAUGCGUCCAUGACUGCCCUCGCGAGUGAAA